AAAACAAUUUAAUUUUUUUGUUAACAAUCUGUCAUUGUUUAGGGCCAAGAGGCUUUAAUUUUUUUUAAAUAAUGACUGAUUCUCUUAAACAUAAAUCUAGUGAGAACGCUCAGGUAAAAUGCAAUGGAUAUUGUACAGUUUGAAAGAAGAGUGAAGUUAUUCCAUGUAUCCUGGCCGGUAUUUAUCUCAGCUCAAAAAUAAAUUACCUGAUUAUUAUAACUGUGGGAGGAAAUUAGCAGUGGUGGGAAUCGAACACGAGCUGCUGUACUGUAAAGCCUUGUGCUAAACAUUACACUAUCAUGAUACUACCCAGAGAUUCAUUUUCUUGCGGGCAUUCGAAUGAGACACAGACACAAUAGAAUCUGAAAAGCACAAAGGACAAACAACCAAUGGGAGAAACCGAUUGUCGCGAUUCUGUUUAUCCACACUAGCAAAAUAGUACAUGUCUGAAAUAAAAAUGCGGGAUUUGAAAUAAAGUGCGAAAAUAUUGGAAAUACUUGGUUCCUCCAGCCCUACAGAGAGGUAGCAUUUGUUUGAACACGUGCACGUAAAGGGUAGUGUUACCAGCAUGUGCAGUUUUGUUUACAUUUUCAGUAUCGUGGAUGAUUUUUCAGCUGACUUAUUUGAUGUAGUUGAGUUCAUUUAAGUGUAUUAACCUUUCGGGAUGAUAAUAUUGAUGUUAACAUUUUUGCAGCAUUGACGUGCGGGUCAAGCAUGACGUUGGGCGCCGCCUCCAGCUGGCGCUUUCGCCGCUGCGCCGGACUUGAUGCUGACAAUCGUGACGCUCUGUAAUGUUCAGAUGUCUUCCUAUCAAGUUUCCUCAUAGGUUGAGCCCGAGGCUGAUUAUCGACACUACCAAUCAGUUUGUCUGAUGCUCUGGGGGCCGAGGGCGCCCAGGCCUCCUCUGAUCCCUCAUCCCCCCUUCUCCCCUUUCUCUCUCUAGUCCUUCUGCUGCUCUCAGCAGUAUGUCCGGCUCCAUAUUGAGAGCAUCUAUCAAAGCCGUGAGCGCCAGGAGACGCCUGGUUCCGACCAGGGCAGCGCUAACGCUGACCCCUCUGGCUGUUAAUAAAAUUAAGCAACUGCUUCGGGAAAAGCCUGAAUAUAUUGGGUUGAAGAUUGGAGUGCGAACCAGAGGGUGUAAUGGUCUGUCCUAUACUUUGGAAUACACAAAGGAAAAAAGAGAUUCAGAUGAAGAAGUAAUCCAGGAUGGUGUUCGAAUAUUCAUUGAAAAGAAAGCGCAGUUGACACUCCUAGGAACAGAAAUGGACUACACAGAAAAUAAACUUGCAAGUGAAUUUGUCUUUCACAAUCCAAAUAUAAAAGGAACCUGUGGUUGUGGAGAAAGUUUUCAUGUUUAAUGGGAACCAACAAUUUGCUUGAACAUUAUUGUGGGCGUCGUGUGUGGUGAGGCACUGAUAUUCCAUUUUAGGCCAUUGAGUGUAGCUGAAUCUAUAUUGUAACUUCAAGGGAGAAGAAACUGAAAUUGCAUCCCUGAUGGUAUGUAGCCACUAACAAUGGAUCUUUCUCCUGAGGGGAAAUUUUGCACAAGGAGUUAUUGUGUUGAAUAAGAUACUAUUUUUUUGUUCAAUUGUCAAACCAUGGGUAGUGUUAACUUUAUUAACUGUGCAAUGAGUGAAAUGCCUGGAUCAGAUAAAUACAACUGCUUUUCAUCUGAAAAAAAGAAAAUGUUGUAUUUGGUAUUAUCAAAUGUACACUGUCAAAGUCAGAUAUUUGGAAAAGUAGAAUUGGUUUAUCAUUGAACUUUAUUAAUGUAGAUUCUGAAUUACUCAUAGGCUGCAACUAGCUCCAUGUUGCUGUUCCUUUUUCAAGCUCCACAAGUCAUUUUUUCUUUUUAUAGAAGGAGAUUUAUUUGGUAACAAAGCCUAAAGUUCACUUUUUUUUAAGAUCCUGGUACAAAAGUCUCCAGACCGUUAAUGCCAUUUGGAAAUUUCGCUCUCCACUACCAACUACUAAGAAUGUGCAAGAAUAUAAAGUUGAUGUUGGAACCCAAAUGGAGUAUCUAUGUUGUACUUUGCCUGCACGACAUCGCCACCAAAUCAAAAUUCAAGAUUGUUCGUAGAAGAUGUCUGAGUUGUUCAGAACUGGAUCAUUUCAGUUUUUUAAAAAUCAGGAACGGCUAAUUACUGAAUACUUGGAGAAUUUUGGAAUGAAGGAAAAUGAAGAGGAAGAAAGCAACAAAGAGAACACAGAAACUGAAUAUUCUUCGUUUAGGGUGUCAGAGUUAUUACUUGCCAUUGAACGGUUAACUGCAGGACAACCAAAGCCUUACAGUGAACAGAAACGUGCAGGAAAAGUAACAAAAGGAGAAAAGGUCCUGCUACUCACGACAGAGAAACAAACUACCCAUCAGAGUCAACUUACCAAAGAUGAAAAAUCACUGGGAAACAGAACUAUUGGAAUUACUUCACCCAAAAGAACUAUACUUAUAAAGUGCCCUCCACGAAGCACUUUUGAAUGCAACAUGACCAGACUCAAAAUGUAUAAAAAUCCACAGGCCACACAAAAACCCAAACUGCAAUAUGACUGGCUCACAAAACUUGAUAACCAAUUUGAUCACGGGAUUAAGCAAUCAAAGAAAAAAUCUAUGGUACGUGAACACACGCCACAAUCCCUCUCAAUGCUAUUUUCACAAAAAAAAAUGAAGAAAAGAAGGGUAUCACUUGACAAAACAUAUCCAGUUCGAAGCUCUGUAUUAAACAGCAAAUCAUCUUCAUUCCAUCUACACAUUCAACGGUCAACACUAGCAGGAGCACCACGCCAUGAACCAUUUAUUGAUUUAGAAGAUUUGCAGAUGAAGCUAUUCAAAAAAUCUUUGAACAAAAGAGCUUCUGAAAUGGUAGCAGAAAAACAUAAAUGUGUAUUACAACCCAUACCAAUAGGGAGACAGGAUAAAGAAGCUCUUCCUGUUCCUUUGAUUUGUAAAGGCAAUAAAUAUAUAGAAAAGUUCUAGAGUACACAUUUCAUCUGAUCCCUUUCAUUUUAUUUGAUCAAAUAAUAAACUAUAGUUCUUUGAAAAUCUGAAUUGU